rnacentral:rRNA from 1 species
UAUCGGAACGUACCGAGUAGUGGGGGAUAACUGAUCGAAAGAUCAGCUAAUACCGCAUACGUCUUGAGAGAGAAAGCAGGGGACCUUUGGGCCUUGCGCUAUUCGAGCGGCCGAUAUCUGAUUAGCUGGUUGGUGGGGUAAAGGCCUACCAAGGCGACGAUCAGUAGCGGGUCUGAGAGGAUGAUCCGCCACACUGGGACUGAGACACGGCC